AUUUUUUGUUGGAAUGGUUUAAGGCAUAAGAGGUUUGGUGACAGUUCUACAACUGGCCUAACUUGAGGUCCCCUUGACCUGGGUCCUGCUGAAUGGGCAGAAUGUCAUCAUCACCAACCCAAGUAUGUAUGUAUUGAGAAAAUGAGUGACUCAAGAAGUAUUUGCCAAACAUCUUUCAGCCCAGUAUAUCUUUUGGAGUGCCCUGCUGAGAAAUUCUUCUUAAAAAUGUUGAGUAAAUUUAAGGACCUGGAAUAUUGUGGUACCAAUGACAAUAGAUGAUGCACUAAAGGAGAUUAGAGGAAACCAAGUGAUUUUUCAAGAUUGCUUUGUUGCAGAUUUUCUUGUUCUGUUGACUUUUCCUAUGUUAACUAUACCGGAAGUUCCUGGUUAUUUACCAAUCUCUUCACCGCGUGGUAGUCAACUAAUUGCUUUCCAUGAUUCUUGUGUUUUUGCAUGUGUUGUUUUGGUAACUGACAGGGAGACCUAUCAAACAAAUGACUCAUUCCGUACUUGGACCAAAAUCAGAGUGCCUCCAAACAUUCUGAGUGAUGAUGAAAGACAGAAUGUAACUCAAGUGAUUUUAUCACGGGAUGGAGUAAUUUUUUACAUAAAUGGUGUUCUUUACCUAAAAAGUUUUCAUGGAUUUAUAAAAAUGGGAAGAACUCUAAAUCUUCCUGAUGAUGGAAUUGCUGGCAUUUCAUCAAGAAAAUGGUGUUGGGUCAAAUAUUUAUUCAAGUCUAAAGGAAGAAGAAGCAACUUGGCAGUCUGGACAGAAAAUGAAAUUUACCUCGGAUAUAUUCUUCUUAAAUUUGCCAGAUUUGUAACGACCGCACAACUGAAAACGAUCCUAAAUCUACCAGUCGCUACUACUCUGACCAUCCACUCCGUUCAGUAUACAGGACACCCUCUGGAGAUUGCUGUGUUUUUAAAUUAUUGCAUUACGUGUACCGUCACCAAAAAGAUUUUCUUAGUGAUAUAUAAUGAAGAUACGAAACAGUGGAUUCUCCAAGACUUGCCAUUAGAUGCCCCUAUUGACAGUGUUUUCUUCCCACAUUUUAUGUUUUCAGCACUGCCAGGAUUGAUACUGUGGAACAAGCAUAGUGUCUACUAUUAUUACAAUAAUUUCACCUUUACUGGGAUUUUGCAGACACCUGCAGGACAUGGAAAUCUAUCAAUGCUAUCAAAUGGCAGCAUUAUUCAUGAAGUUUUAAUAGAUUAUUAUGGAAAUGUUUUGGUAAAAAUGGAAAAUAAUGUAAUGUUUUAUUCCAAGAUUAAUAUUGGAGAUGCAGUCAGGCUGCACUUAUGGAUAAGCAACACAACAAAAGCAAUCAUCUUCUUAAAUACAUCUGGUCUCAUGUACUUCUUGUAUGUUUUUGAUGAUGACUUAAUACAAACAGAGGACUAUCCCUUAAAUCUGGAAGCAAAAAGUAUAACUCUCAGGACAAAAGACAGUUGCCCAUACAUGGCAUUUCACAAUAAUAUUGCUUAUGUUUUUUACUUUUUGGACAAGGGAGAGGCUCUGACAGUUUGGGCUCAAAUAGUCUAUCCAGAAAAUAAUGGCCUGUAUGUUAUUAUGGAAUCCUAUGGCCCAAAAAUAUUAGAAGUGAGACAUAAUAUUUCCUUUGAAGUUGCCUUUGGAUACUGCACCAAAACUCUGUUACUAACGUUUUAUCAGAAGAUAAAUUAUGAGGGAACAGAUGAUUACUUUGGAAUGCAAAACAACAACACGGGGCUUGUGUUGAUUCAAGUUCGACCUAGUGAAUAUUCAAAAGCAUGUUCGGUACCCCAAAAGGUGUUCCAAAUAGCUGUUGGCUGUGAUAAUAAAAAAUUUAUUGCAGUUAAGGGAUUUAGUAAAAAAGGAUGUCACCGCCACGAUUUUUCUUACGUGAUUGAAAAGUCAUAUCUGAGGCAACCACUGUCUAAAAACUUGAAAGUUAGGUAUAAUUGGAAAGAAUAUGGCUGCCCCCUGAGGCUUGAGUUCACAGAAAAGUUUCACCCUGUGGUUCAAUUAUUUGAUGAUAACGGCUAUGUUAAAGACGUUGAAGCAAAUUUCAUAGUGUGGGAAAUACACGGCAGAGGUGACUAUACCUUUAAUAAUACAAUGGCGCAGAGUGGUUGUUUACAUACAGCACAGACAUGGGACUCAAUGAUUAAACUUAACGAGCACCUCCCGUUAGAAGAAGUCUGGGGACCUGAGGUAUUCUUUUAUAAGCAACAGAAAACAAACUAACACACAGUGAAAGCCUCCUCGGCUCGGCACACGUUGUCCAUCCACGCUGGGUUCCUAGAGCUUUCGCAGCUGGCACCCCCCUGCACAUGAGUCAAGCUGUUGAGCCCCUCCCCUGCUUUCUUGGAGUUUCCUUCCCUGAAAGACUGCCACCAGACAGGGCAAGCAUGGCAACACGGGCACACAAAACAUUUAGAGUCUUUACAGUGAUGCUAACUAAAGCCAGAGGAAAUAUGACAAGCCUGUCUUCUGUGAAAAUUCCUCGACAAUACAGGUCAGUACAAUGCUAUGCACAGCAAAAUUCUGUUGGUCUUGUGAUCUCACCCUUUGCUUUUUAUACAAAUAUCUUCUACACUUUUCCCAGAAGUCUGUCAAAGCAGGGCUGGAACAUACAUGUUCCCUGUCCCUGACUACUAUGUACUUCCUCGGUCUUUCACAUCGCGGUACCACUGACGUGAGGAAGGAACCCAUAGCCAACGCAGCCAGGCAGGGUGUACCCACAGCUGAGCAGCAAGUGGGCCUUCUGCUCCGUUCAGUCAGACCGUGUUUUUGGCUCAGCCAUUGCUUGUGGUUACCAGAAUAUAAAUGGUAAGCCACCUUCUCCUCCUAAACUUUCUUAUUUUGAAAAUCAUUUUUUAUUUUCAUUUUUACUGUGUAAUAUAUGCAUGUAAAACUCCUCCUCAUCUUGAUGGCCUACACAUGUUACUCCUGACUCAGUUAUGUAACAUGUUACAUGUUUAUCUGCAACGCAUGUUAGCCUAAAAUUUUAUUACUCAAACGAUUCUCGCUCAACCUGGCUGGGGCGCGGCCACUCUGCUGAACGACCUGUAAACACCGCUCUCACUGUUGCCUCCUCACUAUUCAUUCACAUUCCUAGGAGAGAACUCGAGUUGGUGGAGCUGCCCUACCACCACCCCAGCUAUGUCCUGGGGUAGGAGGCCAAAGAAUCUGUGCCUGUCAGCUUUUGGAAUAAAAGAACUAUAAACACUGUUUUUCCUAUGGCAUUGGAAAACCAGGAGACUUAAAUCAACCAUACGAG